rnacentral:rRNA from 1 species
UGAGGAAUAUUGGUCAAUGGUCGGCAGACUGAACCAGCCAAGUCGCGUGAGGGAAGACGGCCCUACGGGUUGUAAACCUCUUUUGUCGGAGAGUAAAGUACGCUACGUGUAGCGUAUUGCAAGUAUCCGAAGAAAAGCAUCGGCUAACUCCGUGCCAGCAGCCGCGGUAAUACGGAGGAUGCAAGCGUUAUCCGGAUUUAUUGGGUUUAAAGGGUGCGUAGGCGGCACGCCAAGUCAGCGGUGAAAUUUUCGGGCUCAACCCGGACUGUGCCGUUGAAACUGGCGAGCUAGAGUGCACAAGAGGCAGGCGGAAUGCGUGGUGUAGCGGUGAAAUGCAUAGAUAUCACGCAGAACCCCGAUUGCGAAGGCAGCCUGCUAGGGUGUGACAGACGCUGAGGCACGAAAGCGUGGGUAUCGAACAGGAUUAGAUACCCUGGUAGUCCACGCAGUAAACGAUGAAUACUAACUGUUUGCGAUACAAUGUAAGCGGUACAGCGAAAGCGUUAAGUAUUCCACCUGGGGAGUACGCCGGCAACGGUGAAACUCAAAGGAAUUGACGGGGGCCCGCACAAGCGGAGGAACAUGUGGUUUAAUUCGAUGAUACGCGAGGAACCUUACCCGGGCUCAAACGCAGGGGGAAUAUAUAUGAAAGUAUAUAGCUAGCAAUAGUCACCUGCGAGGUGCUGCAUGGUUGUCGUCAGCUCGUGCCGUGAGGUGUCGGCUUAAGUGCCAUAACGAGCGCAACCCCUAUCGACAGUUACUAACGGGUCAAGCCGAGGACUCUGUCGAGACUGCCGGCGCAAGCCGCGAGGAAGGUGGGGAUGACGUCAAAUCAGCACGGCCCUUACGUCCGGGGCGACACACGUGUUACAAUGGCAGGUACAGAAGGCAGCCAGUCAGCAAUGACGCGCGAAUCCCGAAAACCUGUCUCAGUUCGGAUUGGAGUCUGCAACCCGACUCCAUGAAGCUGGAUUCGCUAGUAAUCGCGCAUCAGCCAUGGCGCGGUGAAUACGUUCCC